GCGGGAGUGGCGGAAUGGCAGACGCACCAGAUUUAGGAUCUGGCGGGAAACCGUGGGGGUUCAAGUCCCUUCUCCCGCACCA
rnacentral:tRNA from 1 species